AUCCAGCUAACGAGUCCCAAAUAGAACGAAACGCGCAGCCUGGAU
rfam:Schistosoma rodhaini strain Burundi genome assembly, scaffold: SROB_scaffold0000029